rnacentral:snoRNA from 1 species
CUGCAAGCUCCAGCGUGCUUGGGUCUGCAGUGGCCUGUGCAUUCUACAGUGCUUGCAAGAAAAAUUUUGAAAUGGUUUGAGGCCUUGCCUGCUCCAUCCAGAGCAAGGUUAUAGAAAUUUCAGACACUU